rnacentral:rRNA from 1 species
ACGGGGUGCAGCAGGCGCGAAAACUUUACAAUGCUGGUAACAGCGAUAAGGGGACCUCGAGUGCCAGGAUACAAUCCUGGCUGUCGUAAUGCCUAAAAAGCAUUGCAUAGCAAGGGCCGGGCAAGACCGGUGCCAGCCGCCGCGGUAACACCGGCGGCUCGAGUGGUAACCGUUAUUAUUGGGUCUAAAGGGUCUGUAGCCGGCUGGAUAAGUCUCUUGAGAAACCCGGCAGCUUAACUGUCGGGCUUUCAGGGGAUACUGUUCGGCUCGAGACCGGGAGAGGUGAGAGGUACUUCAGGGGUAGGGGUGAAAUCUUGUAAUCCUUGAAGGACCACCAGUGGCGAAGGCGUCUCACCAGAACGGAUCUGACGGCAAGGGACGAAAGCUAGGGGCACGAACCGGAUUAGAUACCCGGGUAGUCCUAGCCGUAAACGAUACUCGCUAGGUGUCGGCCACGGUGCGACCGUGGUCGGUGCCGUAGGGAAGCCGUGAAGCGAGCCACCUGGGAAGUACGGCCGCAAGGCUGAAACUUAAAGGAAUUGGCGGGGGAGCAC